ensembl:lncRNA
UAUCAUAUCAUUAUUUAAUCAACAUUGACAUAAACAAAACAGUACUCAAUUCACUUAAAACAAAGAACUAUGGCUUCUUCAAGUGCAGUCUGGGCGUUCUGCAUUUAGAGGCUCUGUAGGAAAAGAACAAAAAAGGUGUAUAGAACUGAUGUUUGAGUAAAGUAGAGGAUACUUAUUACAGCCAAUAUUUAUAAUACUAAUAUAUGUGUAUAUACUGUAUAUAUGUAGUAAAAUUACUAAUUUUAUAUUUCCUUGAAACGGAUAGUUUCACCUAUAUUCAAUUAGGAACCUAGCCCUUAAUAUUAGAAAAAUAAAAGUAAAUACAUAUUUAGACUUUUCCUCAAUUUAAUAAAUCUUUUAUUAACUUUUAAAUUGUUUAUCUUAUUAAAAUGAGAACAUAUUGUUAAAUGUAAUAGUGACACAAUGUUUUAUAUUUAAUAUUUUUGCAUAGCUCAAUAUUUUAAACAAAGUGUAAAGUGUUCAAUAAUUAAUUUUGUAACUUGCCAUAUCUAAGCUUAAGCCAAGGUAUAUUUGGACUUUCUGAGUUGACAAAUAAACACAUCUGUAUGUCACUCUAGAUAAAUGUCAUUAUUGUAAUGUAAGUGUUUAUAAUCCUUUGAUAUUCAUCUCCUCUGCUGGUGUGAACUAAGUAGUCCAAGCAGUCCGCUCAAAAUCCUGUGGAGGACUUUUACUUUCUUAACUCACCACUUCUGCUUCAUAUGGCACCAGGUCACUCCACAAAAAGUCUUUAUGUUUUUACAUUAUGUUCAAUUAUCAAUAAUAGCUAAAAUCCAAUAUUAUAAUACGCCUUUUAAAGAAAGACGUUUAUAUUUGAGUCGAGCACAAACGUUUUUUUCAGAUACAUGUCAAAAUAAAAGUCCUCAUUUAACCACCACUAGGAGCCAGGAAAAUAUCAAAUUACAUUUAUUAUUGAUGCAGCCAUUUGUUUUUGAUAAGCAAAUUUUCUUUUUUUUCUGUCAGUCUAAAGAAACUUUACAAUAUAAAGUUACAUACAAAGGACAUCUUUAUUACCUACACAAGACACCUAAGUCCCUAAGACACAGAUCCAAACUAGCCUACCAUGAAAUACAAAGCAAACCCAAUGAGACAGACUGCUUCAUAUUGAAUACUGUCGUGUCGCCAGAAAGGACAAUGAAAGGGUGAGCAUGGUGCUGUCAAUUGGAGAGAAACACGCUGUUGAUACCACAGGGUCACAGGGCAAGAAAACAACAAUUUCAGUGAAGGUCCAAUCCAAUUAAACAUGACUAAACCAGAGAGCAACAAGAGCAAAGUGAACAGUAUCUGAAGCACAGUGAUAUAAUAUGGGCACACUCAAUUUGAACGAAUGGCCGUUUGACUAGGUUGUUGCUAAUCUCCAUACAGUCGAUGAUGAGUGAGCAAGCUUAAAAAAGUCCUAACUGAGGCUUCCUGGGAUUCGAUUCUGAGGAAAAAAGGAAAAAGAUGGAACCACACAAGAUUCACAGACAAGUAGUGUAUUGAAAAUACAAAUGAGAUUGAAUGACCAAUAAGCGAAAUAGGUUGUAUUUACAGGCAUGGGACUAAAAAUAAAAAAUAAAACAACCAAAAAAAUGAGCA